CUGUUUUAACUGUUUUAACAGACUGAAGAAGGAUGCCUGACAGACAAGCUGAGGGGUGAAGUGUCUCCGUGAUGAUGGACUACAAAGCUCCUGGUAGACGAGACGCGUCUGAUCUGCAGAGUGUUCCCUUCAGAGGUGAGCUGGUUAAAGGACUGAGUGUUGGACGCAGCAUCACUGUUAAAGGAGAAACCAAUCAACGCACAGAGGAAACACUUUUUUCAACACACUAUACUAUAACUUUUUUACAACUUUUUUCCGACAUAUACUAUGACUUUUUUUAUGACAUUUUUGACAUACUGUACUAUGACUUUUUUCGACAUACUAUAACAGGAAUAGCAUCACUCACCCCGGCCACAGACUGUUUGCCUUCCUGCCUUCCUGCCUUCUGCGAUGCGCUACAGGACUCUCCGUUCCAGGACCAGCAGACUCAGGAACAGCCGUCUCUCCUCAGCAGACACCUUGCUGAAAUCUGCAUCUCUGUGACAGCAAUCAGACACACUGUUAAUACUGUUCCUACUGAACAUACUGCAUAUAUCUACUGUAUUCAUACCAAUUGCCAUUUAUUCAACAUACAAUAUUUUAUUCUGUUUUUUGUUGUACAUCCUGCAUUAUGUUGUCUCAGUACCUUUACU